GGCGGAGAGAAGGAGGGAUGGAAGAGGCAGAUAUAAUAAAAAACGUUAUAUGCAUGUACAUAAAUGUCUCCCUGCAAACACUAUGCUGCAUAACUAACAAAAAAAGCAGCCAGUUGACCGUAUUCAGUGAGCCCCCAACUUACAAAUGACUUCUGUUUGGGGAGAAGGUUCGUAAACCAGACUCACUCAUAAAUCUGAUUAAGCGACACAAACGUGGCUUCGUGCUACCCAGCGGUCCCCUCCCCAUCACCAGUGCUUCUCCUUUCCGCUUCCGGACAUCCGGGGCUCUAACUGAGCGCUGAGCUACUCCACAGGAAACACACAGCAGCGCAACUGUUAACGGUGUCCGGCUGGCGAGUGAGCGACUCCUGCACUGUGUUCCCAUCUCUGAGCGUUUGUGACCAGAGGGCGGUUCGUAUCUGUGAGACUUCGCGACUUGAAUUUCUGAAUGCAAACCGUGAUGGCCACGUGGAACUUUCUUCAUCUUCAUCCAUGGAAGCCAUGAAUUCAAGAUCUCACCAGGCAACUGGUGGUGGAGGAUUGAAGUUAGCAGGCGCUUUCUUGGCCUUAAAACAGCGGACCCUAAAACAAGUCUCCUGCACAGGUGACUGCAAAGCUGGAAGCUGACAAGGAUGUAAGCUCACCUGCUUGUCAAAACUCUGCUAAUGGAAACUGCUAUCUGGAACAUUGCUUCUUGAGGCUGUUUGCUCUCACCUGGAAUGCAAGAUGGAGUGCCAGGAGUUAGGAAGACAUUUGUAAUGAUUGACUUGUAAGCUUUACCCCAGAGAAUCUGGAGGUGAGCAAAUUUAUACAUUUAAUCACUCAUUUAUGUAAACCAUUUUAAUUAAAUACAAACAAAACCCAAAUGCAUUCUUUGCUAAAAUGGAUGUUAUUUUUUUCCUCCCCUGUAGACCACAGGACUUCAUGCAUCCCUUGGCUGAUAUAAAAACAUGUAAGGAAUUAGUUUAAGGAACUUCCUACCUUUGAGGAACUUGCUGUCUAACUGGGGGAAAGACACUUUGCCACAUGGAAAUAUUCAAGGCUAAGGCACUUACUGCGGUGGUGCAAUGCAUUAAUGACCUAAAGCAUAUUGCUUAUAAAAGAGAAUAAAAUAAACAUAUAGAGAGGAACAGUGAGAGAUGCAGCCCCUUGGAGCUUGCCUGGGACCACAGCCCCACCCUUCUGGGCCUGGCAGCGGAACUGUAAGAGGUGCAGAUUCUAAAGCACCUGUAGCCUUCCCCUUCCAUGGGCCUCUGGUCUCCUUGCUGGACUGGUGCCUGGAUUCAUACCACAG
rnacentral:lncRNA from 1 species